UGUCCCCUGGCCGGUGGCACCUUGGCGGAGCCCCGGAGAACAGGAAGCACCCCCCACCCCCUCGGCAGCCGCCGGUUUUCCACAUCCGCAUCCCCCUCUGCGCGUGGGAAGGGGAUCUCCCCAGCAGCCCUGCGAGCCGUGCUGGUCAGUGAUGGAUUCACGCCGUCACAGGCACAGAGACACCAAAACGCUGUCAGAUAAUCUUAUAUUUUAUAUAUAUAUAUAUAUUUUAUUUUAUUUUUCUUUAAAGAUCGGUCAAAAGAAAAAAAAAUCUGCUUAUUUCUCCUAGGAUGCUUCAGCUUCGUUCAUGUUCAGUCGUUAGCGGCGGUGGAACGAGCUGAAAUUUCAUUUGCUUAAAAUCUGUCGGGGUGGGGGGGGUGAAUUAUAAUUAUAAUAAUAGUAAUAAUAAAGGAUGUUGUGUCUUUA